UACGGAGGUGGCAAGCGUUAUCCGGAUUCACUGGGUUUAAAGGGUGCGUAAGGCGGGCAGGUAAGUCAGUUGGUGAAAUCUCCGAGCUUAAACUCCGGGAACUGCCGUUUGGAUACUAUUUGUCUUGAAUAUUGUGGAGGUAAGCGGAAUAUGGUCAUGUAGCGGUGAAAUGCUUUAGAUAUGACAUAGAACACCAAUUGCGAAGGCAGCUUACUACACAGUGAUUGACACUGAGGCACGAAAGCGUGGGGAUCAAACAGG
rnacentral:rRNA from 1 species